CUAUAAGAAUUCAGAAUCAGGCCGGGGUGAUCCGUCACCCCGUAUAAACGGUCGUACAUCCAGCCGGUAGCCUGAUUCAUUGCAUUGAGUGAUGUACGGAGUUUAUAGAGC
rfam:Kluyvera intermedia strain CAV1151, complete genome.